GACAGAGGGUGCAAACGUUGUCCGGAAUUAUUGGGCGUAAAGAGCUCGUAGGCGGUUUGUCGCGUCUGCUGUGAAAACUCGGGGCUUAACCCCGGGCCUGCAGUGGGUACGGGCAGACUAGAGUGCGGUAGGGGAGACUGGAAUUCCUGGUGUAGCGGUGAAAUGCGUAGAUAUCUGGAGGAACACCGGUGGCGAAGGCGGCAUCCUGGACCGGCAUUGACGCUGAGGCGCGAAAGCCAGGGGAGCAAACGGG
rnacentral:rRNA from 1 species